GAGCGUGAAGAAACCGGCCGCCAUCUUACGGUGCCCACAACAGUCGCCGCAGCGAUCAUGGCAACUUCUUGCAAUUACGGUCGUACCAACCGUACUGGCAAGGUUACAGGGCCUAAAUUUAUACAGGUUUCGUCAUGAGGGCUACCCAGUGAAUAAUCUGUGUAGUGUGAUACGGCUGGGUGUACAGGUUACUUCACAGCUGCCUCGACAUACUCAAGAAAUGGGUGCAGAACCUGCGUAAUGCCCACAAACUUUGAUUACCACAGCACCUCCAGAAAGUAUGUGUCACAUGGGAUUUUUAAAUGUAUUCACAGUAUAUAAUACCUUGUAUUAACUGUUGUAGAUCUAAGCCGUCUCUACAGUACACUCUCAGAAAUUAAAACCGUGAGA